AUGGACGAGGCUAUCUCGGAGGAAGAAAUCUUGGCUAAUAUCAAGGAGUUGGAUGGAGACAGUGCCCCGGGACCCGAUGGGUUUACGGCCUUGUUCUACGAGCAGUGCUGGCCCAUAAUCAAAGAUGAUCUGACAAGGGUUGUCCGGGCUGUGCAAGCAAACGCGUCGCCACACCUCCACCGGCUCAACCAGGCUACGUUGAUUCUCCUCCCAAAGAAUGCAGAGGCCCUUACCACAAAAGAUUUCAGGCCCAUCAUCCUGGUCUGUAGCUUCGCCAAGUUGAUCACCAAGAUAUUGGCAUCGAGGCUGCAACGCCGGAUGAAUGAGCUCGUCGGCCCCUGCCAGAACGCGUUUAUCAAAGGGCGCGCCAUCCAU
rnacentral:rRNA from 1 species